rnacentral:sRNA from 1 species
AUAAGUAUAUCUUAAAUGCUCAUUUGUGAUAACUAAAUAAGAACUCUCUCUUCUCUCUCCUGGACUUUUUAGAGAGAGGAUUGUUCUUUGUUUUUACAGACCGAAAUUUUUCCGGUGAACCGCUGUCCUGACUCACUCGGGCUUUUGUCCGGCAUCUUCUAACUCUGUUAGCAGAGAUGGCCGACUUUCGUCCAGCGACGCAUGACUUCAACUAGUAGCGUUGGCUGGCUUAUCUUUUUCCCUUGCCCGUAGAUCGUUUUUUUUUCCGAUCUCUUUAUAUCUUUAUCUUUCAAUAAUUGCCUUGGAUAUGAGUCGGUGAUUAUCUAUUCAAGAUGGGUUUCUCCGACUUGUUUCCUUUGUGAUUGACUGCUUGUGGAUUGCAUGAAUUGUUUCAAUUUCACAAAUUGAAGAGAUUUGAGUAUAAAGCUUGAUUUGUAGGAACAAUUUCAAGAGAUUGUAUAUUGGGGUAAAGGAUCGAAGAAUACUCCGAUGCGUACUACAAUUCCCUUUCUGCUGUAUCUUUCAAUUGAAGCUCUGCUCAGAAAAUUUCGGUUACAUCAAAAAGAAUUUUCGUGCGAUUGUUUGUCGGCGACGUUUUUUUUACCGAAAUCAGAGCUCGACAGCGGUGGUUGAUAUCGGUACACUUCUGAUGACUCAUCAACACGUGUUGCAGUAGUAAUUUAAGGUUGACAUGUGACUUUGGAUCUAGUUUAAACGCUAAAAUUCUUUUUGCUUUCUAUGUAAAAUUGGUGAGCUAUCUUGUUGAGCUUCGUUCUUUUAUGUUUGCAAAAUCAGUAGGCUUUAUGUAACCUUGGGUUGAUUAACAAAAUACUCU